GGAUGUGAGGGCCAUCUGGCUGCGAUAUCUGUCACCCCACUGAUCGCCAAGGUUGAUUCAGCUGAUGUGGCUGGCUAGGCAGGUGUCCCCUUCCUCCCUCACCGCUCCAUGUGCGUCCGUCCUGAAGCUGCGUGCUUGGUGGAAGAUGUUGGCCUUCCCCAAUAGAGACGGAUCUGUCUUUGGUUGAGGGUUUAUGAGUAGUUGCACUCCCCUGCUAGAACCUCCAAACAAGCCCUCAAGGUCCAAAAUGCAUCCACUCAGGGCUGUUUGCACUCAUCUCCCUUUCUGUGUAGCAUAUAGUAUCCCUACACAGG
ensembl:misc_RNA 7SK 7SK RNA